UACAGAGGGUGCGAGCGUUAAUCGGAAUUACUGGGCGUAAAGCGCACGUAGGUGGCUGUGUAAGUCGGGUGUGAAAUCCCCGGGCUCAACCUGGGAACUGCAUUCGAGACUGCAUAGCUGGAGUACGGAAGAGGAGGGCGGAAUUCCCGGUGUAGCGGUGAAAUGCGUAGAGAUGAGGAGGAACACCAGUGGCGAAGGCGGCCACCUGGACAGUAACUGACGCUGAGGCGCGAAAGCGUGGGUAGCAAACAGG
rnacentral:rRNA from 1 species